UCUCUAGCCAGGAGCAAGAAGAGCAGUGCUGCCCAUACCAGUUUGGGGAGGGUGAAUAUGCAGUACAGAUGUGUGGAGGGGGCUAUGCUGUUUCCACAUCUGAUGACACCAGAGAUGAGCAAGCAAAGUGGAAUGGAACACAGCAUGAAAAUGGAGUCAGAAAAACCCGGGCUCAACUAUCAGCAAUCCAUCUAUGUGAACUUACAGAAGUCACCUGCGUUCUCUGAGUCUCCAUUUCUACAUCUAUAAAAUGGGAACAUCAUGUUUGUGUGCCUCACAGGGCUAUUGUAAGAUCAAAGGAAGGAAUGCAAGUGCAAGACUUUUGAGAACAGCAAAGUUUUAUUUGGCUUUGAUUGGUUAAUAUUUACUUCCAAAAUUGAUUACUGGAUACUAUUAUUCAUAAUACUGAUCAAGCUAUGCAGCACGGGCCAAGCGUGCACAGGAGCUCCCAUCCUCUCGCUGGAAUGCAAGUAGAGCUGCCUUCAGGCAGAGCCUGUGUGACAUGAAGAGAAUGGCCUCCAGGGCCUGUGGGGCAAUGUGGCUCCAUGGCAAUGGGCCUGGGGGCAUUGGAAAUUGCUUGUGCCCACAAACCUUCACAUCAAAUGGCCCAUAGAGGAUAAAAACAAAACCGAGCCUGAGCUCUGUCAAUCUAGAGCUGUAACAGUGCCACUGCAGAACCAGGCAAUGGGGCCUGUCUGAAAAAUAUCCCCAGCCAACGCUGAGGCCACCUUGGAGGCAGGGGUCUGACAGGGGUGACUUGGGAAACCUGCCUUUUAAAUUAGUGCCCCAGUUAAUUCAUACGCACUUGACAAAAACUUUAUAUGAUGGGAAACUUGGUGGAGUGGAGCAAGGAAGGGAUUCUUUUUUUAAAAUCUUUAUUGUUGAAAGUAUUAUAUAUGUCCCUUUUUCCCCAUUGACCCCAAAGGGAUUCUUUAUUGAUGUUAUGCCAGGUCUUUAAUAAAAGCAAUACUCAUUGAGGGAAACCCUGGGUGUGCAGGGAAAUAACCUUAUAAUACA